rnacentral:rRNA from 1 species
GACGAACGCUGGCGGCGUGCCUAAUACAUGCAAGUCGAGCGGACUGAUUAAGAGCUUGCCCUUAUGACGUUAGCGGCGGACGGGUGAGUAACACGUGGGCAACCUGCCCUGUAGAUCGGGAUAACACCGAGAAAUCGGUGCUAAUACCGGGUAAUAUCUGAGAUCACAUGAUCUUAGGUUAAAAGAUGGCUCCGGCUAUCACUACAGGAUAGGCCCGCGGCGCAUUAGCUAGUUGGUAAGGUAAUGGCUUACCAAGGCGACGAUGCGUAGCCGACCUGAGAGGGUGAUCGGCCACACUGGGACUGAGACACGGCCCAGACUCCUACGGGAGGCAGCAGUAGGGAAUCUUCCGCAAUGGACGAAAGUCUGACGGAGCAACGCCGCGUGAGUGAUGAAGGGUUUCGGCUCGUAAAGCUCUGUUGUUAGGGAAGAAACAGUACCGAACGAACUAGGUCGGUACCUUGACGGUACCUAACCAGAAAGCCACGGCUAACUACGUG